rnacentral:rRNA from 1 species
GACGAACGCUGGCGGCGUGCUUAACACAUGCAAGUCGAACGAUGAACCACUUCGGUGGGGAUUAGUGGCGAACGGGUGAGUAACACGUGGGCAAUCUGCCCUUCACUCUGGGACAAGCCCUGGAAACGGGGUCUAAUACCGGAUAACACUUCCACUCUCCUGAGUGGUCGUUAAAAGCUCCGGCGGUGAAGGAUGAGCCCGCGGCCUAUCAGCUUGUUGGUGAGGUAAUGGCUCACCAAGGCGACGACGGGUAGCCGGCCUGAGAGGGCGACCGGCCACACUGGGACUGAGACACGGCCCAGACUCCUACGGGAGGCAGCAGUGGGGAAUAUUGCACAAUGGGCGAAAGCCUGAUGCAGCGACGCCGCGUGAGGGAUGACGGCCUUCGGGUUGUAAACCUCUUUCAGCAGGGAAGAAGCGAAAGUGACGGUACCUGCAGAAGAAGCGCCGGCUAACUACGUGCCAGCAGCCGCCGUAAAAC